AUUGAACGCUGGCGGCAGGCUUAACACAUGCAAGUCGAGCGGAGACUUCGGUCUUAGCGGCGAACGGGUGAGUAAUACCUAGGAAUCUGCCCAUUAGCGGGGGACAACGUUUCGAAAGGAACGCUAAUACCGCAUACGCCCUACGGGGGAAAGCAGGGGAUCUUUUGACCUUGCACUAAUGGAUGAGCCUAGGCCGGAUUAGCUAGUUGGUAGGGUAAAGGCCUACCAAGGCGACGAUCUGUAGCUGGUCUGAGAGGAUGACCAGCCACACUGGAACUGAGACACGGUCCAGACUCCUACGGGAGGCAGCAGUGGGGAAUAUUGGACAAUGGGCGCAAGCCUGAUCCAGCCAUGCCGCGUGUGUGAAGAAGGCCUCGGUUGUAAGAGACUUAAGUCGAGGAGG
rnacentral:rRNA from 1 species